rnacentral:rRNA from 1 species
UAGAUACCCUGGUAGUCCACGCCCUAAACGAUGCACACUAGUUGUUGCUCUGCUAGUCAGAGCAGUAAUACAGUUAACACAUUAAGUGUGCCGCCUGGGGAGUACGGUCGCAAGAUUAAAACUCAAAGGAAUAGACGGGGACCCGCACAAGCGGUGGAGCAUGUGGUUUAAUUCGAAGAUACGCGAAGAACCUUACCUGGACUUGAUAUCCUUGGAAUCUCUCAGAGACGAGAGAGUGCUAGUUUACUAGAACCAAGUGACAGGUGCUGCACGGCUGUCGUCAGCUCGUGUCGUGAGAUGUUGGGUUAAGUCCCGCAACGAGCGCAACCCUCGUCCUUAGUUGCUAACAGUUCGGCUGAGCACUCUAAGGAGACUGCCUGGGUAACCAGGAGGAAGGUGAGGACGACGUCAAGUCAUCAUGGCCCUUAUGUCCAGGGCUACACACGUGCUACAAUGGCUAGGACAGAGAGACGCGAUACCGCGAGGUGGAGCAAAUCUUAAAACCUAGUCUCAGUUCGGAUUGAAGUCUGCAACUCGACUUCAUGAAGCUGGAAUCGCUAGUAAUCGUAGAUCAGCAAUGCUACGGUGAAUACGUUCCCGGGUCUUGUACUCACCGCCCGUCACACUAUGGGAGUUGAAUUCACCCGAAGCCGGAAUGCCAGAAUGGCUACCGACCACGGUGGGUUCAGCGACUGGGGUGAAGUCGUAACAAGGUA